UACGUAGGGGGCAAGCGUUGUCCGGAUUUAUUGGGCGUAAAGAGCGUGUAGGCGGCUUUGCAAGUCCGUUGUGAAAACUCGAGCUCAACCUCGAGACGCCGGUGGAAACUGCAAAGCUAGAGUCCGGAAGAGGAGAGUGGAAUUCCGUGGUGUAGCGGUGAAAUGCGCAGAUAUCAGGAAGAACACCCGUGGCGAAGGCGGCUCUCUGGGACGGUACUGACGCUGAGACGCGAAAGCGUGGGGAGGCGAACAGG
rnacentral:rRNA from 1 species